GACCUAGUACUUUAAAUUAAAAGAUUUGAUUUGCAUUCAAGAGAUAAGCCCUGCUUCUAGGUCA
rnacentral:tRNA from 1 species